GUACUCCUACGGGAGGCAGCAGUAGGGAAUAUUGGUCAAUGGAUGCAAGUCUGAACCAGCCAUGCCGCGUGCAGGAAGAAGGCCCUAUGGGUUGUAAACUGCUUUUGGCUGAGCGAUAAAAUGGCUUUGCGAAGCUAAUUGAAGGUACCUGUGUGAAUAAGCCACGGCUAACUACGUGCCAGCAGCCGCGGUAAUAC
rnacentral:rRNA from 1 species